rnacentral:rRNA from 1 species
AGUGGCGGACGGGUGAGUAAUGUCUGGGAAACUGCCUGAUGGAGGGGGAUAACUACUGGAAACGGUAGCUAAUACCGCAUAAUGUCGCAAGACCAAAGAGGGGGACCUUCGGGCCUCUUGCCAUCGGAUGUGCCCAGAUGGGAUUAGCUAGUAGGUGGGGUAACGGCUCACCUAGGCGACGAUCCCUAGCUGGUCUGAGAGGAUGACCAGCCACACUGGAACUGAGACACGGUCCACACUCCUACGGGAGGCAGCAGUGGGGAAUAUUGCACAAUGGGCGCAAGCCUGAUGCAGCCAUGCCGCGUGUAUGAAGAAGGCCUUCGGGUUG